GGACGCGAGGGGUAAAAUUGGAAGUUAAACUUUUGGGUAAAUUGACAACCUCCCACAAAGCAGUGGGAAUUGAUUCUAGGGUUGAGUGUUGAUAAUCGAUCAGUUUCAGUUUCAGUUUCACAGAGCCAAUCUCUCUCUCUCUCGCUCUCCUCCAAAUGAGUCGGCACCCGGAGGUUCUUUGGGCGCAGCGGUCCGAUAAAGUAUACCUGACGGUGGCGUUACCGGAUGCGAAAGACAUAAGCGUCAAGUGUGAGCCCGAGGGCUUGUUCGCCUUCUCCGCCACCGGAGUCCAAGGAGAGUCCUUUCACUUCACUUUGGAGCUCUACGGACAGAUACUACCUCAGAGAUGGGAGCUCGGGAAUUCGUUGUUGCAGGGUUGUAAAACUAAGGCUGGCUCAAGGAACAUCCUCUGCUCCAUCCAGAAACUACACAAAGCUUGGUGGCAACGACUUCUCAAGACCCAAGAAAAACCUGCCCCUUACAUUAAGGUCGAUUGGAACAAUUGGUGCGACGAGGACGACGAACUAGACUCCACUUCUAAUUUGGCCUCUGAUGAUGAUGAUUCUGAUGCUGAUGCUGCGAAUAUCGGCGAAGAUGAAGGAAGCAGCGAAGAUGAAGGAAUGCUCUAUCUUCCCGACCUGGAGAAGGCACGAAAAAAAUAAGCAUCAUGGCAUGUUAGCUAGGGACCGAGGGAACCACCAUCUGCUCUCACUAGGUCGUAGGUCGUUUCAGUGCAAUGUGAAGUAGGAAACUGCCAAUUAACGUUUCAGUCUUUCAGUGCAAUGUGGAGGAAACUGCCAAUUAGCACUGGUUCAUGUUAGCUUCUGCUUCUAUGAUAGAACAGGUAUCCUCCAUCGUACAAAAGAUGCAACACCUUUUCUACAAA